rfam:Klebsormidium nitens mitochondrial DNA, scaffold: kfl01814, whole genome shotgun sequence.
GCGAGCCGUAUGAUGGGAAACUAUCACGUACGGUUCUGAGGGUAGGGUGGAGAACGGGCACAAGUGUCUAGUCUCUAUCCUAAC